AUGGAUGGCAUCUUUAAAAAGUGGGGAAAAUCAAGAAAAGGUGGACAGAACAAUGUCACGGCUGAUCAUUUCUUCUAUGUGGACACCUUCUAUGUUGCCAUAGACUCCAUCACCAUAGAGUUUGAUCAUCGUUUUAAUGAGGUAUCUUCGGAGAUGCUCAAAACUUCUCUUGUCUUGAGACAAGAAACUCCUUUUCUAGGUUCAAUGUGA
rnacentral:rRNA from 1 species